rnacentral:rRNA from 1 species
GACGAACGCUGGCGGCGUGCUUAACACAUGCAAGUCGAACGAUGAACCGGAGCUUGCUCUGGGGAUUAGUGGCGAACGGGUGAGUAACACGUGGGCAACCUACCCCAGACACCGGGAUAACCAUUCGAAAGGAUGGCUAAUACCGGAUACGACCACUUCGGGCAUCCGAUGGUGGUGGAAAGGAUUCUGGUCUGGGAUGGGCCCGCGGCCUAUCAGCUUGUUGGUGGGGUAAUGGCCUACCAAGGCGACGACGGGUAGCCGGCCUGAGAGGGCGACCGGCCACACUGGGACUGAGACACGGCCCAGACUCCUACGGGAGGCAGCAGUGGGGAAUAUUGCGCAAUGGGCGAAAGCCUGACGCAGCGACGCCGCGUGAGGGACGAAGGUCUUCGGAUUGUAAACCUCUUUCAGCAGGGAUGAAGCGAAAGUGACAGUACCUGCAGAAGAAGCACCGGCUAACUACGUGCCAGCAGCCGCCGUAAGAC